rnacentral:rRNA from 1 species
CAAUAGCAUAUAUUAACGUUGUUGCAGUUGAAAAGCUCGUAGUUGAACUUUUGGUAGGAGCGACCCGGCCUUGGGCGCAUGCCCUUGUUUGCCGUGUGUCGUAUCUGGCCAUCCUUUUCCGUUUCGGCGGGAAUCUUUUACUGUGAGUAAACUGGAGUGCUCAAAACAAGACGUUUGUUUGGUACAUUAAAGCAUGGAAUAAUAAGAUAGGACCUGGUUACUAUUUUGUUGGUUUGCAUAGCUAGGUAAUGAUUAACAGGGACAGUUGGGGGUAUUCGUAUUUAAUUGUCAGAGGUGAAAUUCUUGGAUUUAUGAAAGACGAACGACUGCGAAAGCAUUUACCAAGGAUGUUUUCAUUA